AUGCGGCGGUGCCGGGGCGCAGGGCUGGCGGGGCUGGCUGUGCUGCUGCUGGUGGCUGUGGGCAGAGCCCAGGUGCUGCAGGAGCCGUCAGCAGAGACCACCGAGGGCACCGAAAUCAACCUCACUUGCUCGCACCCCAGUAUCCGAACCACGGAGUUCAUCUACUGGUACCGCCAGCUCCCGGGACGAGGCCCCGCUUUCCUCCUGAGCACUCACAAAGACUCCAAAGAGCUGCGGGACCCGCCGGGGCGGCUGUGGGUGUCGGCAGACCGCCGCUCCAGCGCCCUGUGGCUCGCCCGGCCCCGGCGCGGGGACGCGGCGGUGUAUUACUGCCUACACACUUACAACUUGAAUCCUCCAGCUCCACACUCUGCUUCUGGGGUGCUCCUGCUGGUGUUGCACAGGCAUCCUGUGGAGCCUGCAGUUCUACAUCGGCACCAACUUGAGAAGGAGAUACUGAUUGUCACAGACACCUUCAAGUGUCUCCUGCAGUGCCUGGUGAUCAGAACAUAG